AAAAAAAAUUGUUCAUGGUUUUGCCCUAAUUUUGCACAAAAUAGUUUUAUUCUGAUUGGUUUUACAAUAUUGCAUUAAAAUUGUAUUAGUAUAUAAUA
rnacentral:sRNA from 1 species